CCAUGUACACAAAACUGGUACGGUUAACGCAAGCAGCGAAGAGAUGUUGGGUGGAUGGUUCCGGAGACGCUAGCGUUGGAGAUGUGGAGCUGGUAGUGCGCUGCGGUGAUGGAAGAGAAGGUAUGGAGAUGAUGGUGGAAGAUGGAGAUGCUGCAGCUAUGUGACGCGGUGAUCGACGGUGAGCUCUGGUGGCGGCGGCUGGUUGGGUACAUUGAAUGGGUUGGGUAUUGGAGAGAGGGAGGAAUGUGUGUGAAAAUGAGAACCGUCAGUGUUUGAUAGGUGGAAAGAGUAAGAGAUGAGAGAAUGAAUAUGAAAACUGUUGCCAUG
rnacentral:lncRNA from 1 species